GUCUCUGGCCGUCCGAGUUGUAAUCUAGAGAAGUGAUGCCCGCGCUGGACCGUGUACAAGUCUCCUGGAAUGGAGCGUCAUAGAGGGUGAGAAUCCCGUCUCUGACACGGACUACCAGGGCUUUGUGGUACGCUCUCAAAGAGUCGAGUUGUUUGGGAAUGCAGCUCAAAAUGGGUGGUAAAUUCCAUCUAAAGCUAAAUAUUGGCGAGAGACCGAUAGCGAACAAGUACCGUGAGGGAAAGAUGAAAAGAACUUUGGAAAGAGAGUUAAACAGUACGUGAAAUUGCUGAAAGGGAAACGCUUGAAGUCAGUCGCGUUGGCCGGGGAUCAGCCUCGCUUUUGCGUGGUGUACUUUCCGGUUGACGGGUCAGCAUCAAUUUUGACCGCUGGAAAAAGGCUUGAGGAAUGUGGCAGCUCCGGCUGUGUUAUAGCUUCUUGUCACAUACAGCGGUUGGGAUUGAGGUACUCAGCACGCCGCAAGGCCGGGUUUCGACCACGUUCGUGCUUAGGAUGCUGGCAUAAUGGCUUUAAGCGACCCGUCUUGAAACACGGACCAAGGAGUCUAACAUGCCUGCGAGUGUUUGGGUGGAAAACCCGAGCGCGUAAUGAAAGUGAAAGUUGAGAUCCCUGUCGCGGGGAGCAUCGACGCCCGGACCAGAACUUUUGGGACGGAUCCGCGGUAGAGCAUGUAUGUUGGGACCCGAAAGAUGGUGAACUAUGCCUGAAUAGGGUGAAGCCAGAGGAAACUCUGGUGGAGGCUCGUAGCGAUUCUGACGUGCAAAUCGAUCGUCAAAUUUGGGUAUAGGGGCGAAAGACUAAUCGAACCUUCUUCGGU
rnacentral:rRNA from 1 species